GAUGAACGCUGGCGGCGUGCCUAAUACAUGCAAGUCGAGCGAACAGAUGAGGAGCUUGCUCCUCUGACGUUAGCGGCGGACGGGUGAGUAACACGUGGAUAACCUACCUAUAAGACUGGGAUAACUUCGGGAAACCGGAGCUAAUACCGGAUAAUAUAUUGAACCGCAUGGUUCAAUAGUGAAAGACGGUUUUGCUGUCACUUAUAGAUGGAUCCGCGCCGCAUUAGCUAGUUGGUAAGGUAACGGCUUACCAAGGCAACGAUGCGUAGCCGCCCUGAGAGGGUGAUCGGCCACACGGGAACUGAGACACGGUCCAGACUCCUACGGGAGGCAGCAGUAGGGAAUCUUCCGCAAUGGGGGAAAGCCUGACGGAGCAACGCCGCGUGAGUGAUGAAGGUCUUCGGAUCGUAAAACUCUGUUAUUAGGGAAGAACAAAUGUGUAAGUAACUAUGCACGUCUUGACGGUACCUAAUCAGAAAGCCACGGCUAACUACGUG
rnacentral:rRNA from 1 species